rnacentral:lncRNA from 10 species
GACACUUCUUUGGUCAUUUACAAUUUAAGCUUUUAAGGAGAGAAACACAGAUUAAAGAAACUCCUCUGUGGCAUCCCACACAGGCACUAUAGUUGGGACAAACCUGGAUUCAAAUCCUACCUCAACCUUGCAACUAGCUGUGUGAUCUAAGUAAAUUACUUAAGCCCUCAACACCUAAAUUUCCUCAUCUGCAAAUAGGUUCUAGGAGGAGUUACUAUGAAGUUAAAUUCUUCACAUAAAGGUCUUAGCUCAGUGCCAGGCACACAGUAAGCACUCAAAACAUCAGCUGUAGCAUCAUUACGAGAUUACUAAUUUUACGCUAAGCUGAAAGGGCAUUCUUCAUAAAGUAGUAAUUUUUUGCCCUUUUGCUAAUUGAUCGUUUCUGAAACCAUUCCCAAAAGGAAGACUCCUAAAAGGAAACUUACUUCUUAUCAUGCUAAGCGGGGAGGAAGUAAAAGAAAAGUGAGGGAUAUUGCUCAAUCGAUAGUACAGUAUUGUUCGCCAUCUGAAAAAAACCACUCAGAAUUAAAUAAGGAAAGUUUCCAGACAAACUUUAAAAGGUAUUCAAACAACUCCUAUGUAGAAUUGGCUUCACCUCUGCAGGUUGAUUGGGUACAUCCCUGUUAUGAGAAAACUUGUCGUAUUCUUCCAAGUCCCUAAUUGCGAGUAAGAGGCUAGGCUAGAACAUGACAUUCAUAGUAGCCAAAAUCUUUCUCCUAAAUCAGGACAUGCCAACGAUCCCACUUCUUCACAGGGACCAUGACGCAGGGAUGAAGGAGAAAUGAAAGAAAUUACUGGAAAGACAAUCUGGAGAAUUGGGUGCAAUGUCAGUGAAGGGUUCCACAUCACCAUCUUACACCUGACUACAGUGGUACCAUUGAAGAGGGAAAGUCAUGGUAAGCUGAAGUUCUCAGUGGACCUCUGAACAUGAAGAAUCCCAAACCAAUGAGGGAACAAGACAGUCAUCUCAAGGAAAACCAACUUUCCUCCCUUUCGACUGCCUGUUCUGAAGCACAAGGCAUAGAAUAUCAAGAGCCAACUCCUAUAACCUCACCUUAAAAUCAAAGCUUUUGGUGAUUUUGAAGAUUGAACCAACAACUGGAAAUAAUUUCUUCAAUAGUAAUUUAUCCUUAGAACAUCAAAAUGGAGAAGGAUCUUAGGGAACCAUUUACUCCAGUGCUCCCAAUGAUAAAAUUGCAGCCUGAUCAUGGGAAGGAAUUUGUCCCAAUGUAACUAAUGGCUGGUGUGGAGUUGGAAUCAAGAUUACAGUCUCAGUCCUCCAGGCUGUCUUCAGGCGAGAGAUAAAUUUGGUUUAAUUUGAUAUCCCUAGAAGAUUAAAAAUUGAAGUUUCAUGGUAUUUGGAGAAUAUCAUAAUUCUCUUGUGAAGAUGUAAUGAUUUGCAGAUGAUGGGUGUCCUCAUUCACCUCUAUUGAAGGAGCUUGACAAUCUGCCUUAAAGGAUAAGCAUCUUAUUUCUAAGCAGGAAACCAGGAAGUAGAUUUGGGUCUAUCUUGUUCCAAAACUGGGUCCUAAGCUGAAAAUCGCUGAAAAGAAUGAGGGCUUCAUUCAUUCCUCUUCUGUUCAUUCUAGUUCCCACAAGCUUUGGGUGCAGAAAAAAUUAAGUUUAUAAUGAUAGUUCAGGGACAGUGGGGAGACAUAUAGUAAGAAAUACAAAGAAGAUGCCUCCUGAAGGUCAUUUCCCAUGACAAGACAUAUUCAAGUGGGAAUGAUAACUCCUGAAGUCACAGGAUAAUGAGAUGUAACUUCUGUUUUCUGUUUUAUUUAGCACUUGGUAGCUAUUCUGAAACAGAUGUUUUCUAAUCUGUAAUAUUUUGCUGAAAACUUUUGGUGAAAUUGCUGGAAGUUUCCAUACUGGCCUUGCUUAUGCCUUUAGCACUGUCUUUAAUUUCACUCCUCGGUAGGAGAGAAGAAAGAAGGACAAAGAAAUAUGUUCAUUUCAGCCAGAAUUUUAAAAACAUGUUCCCUUUAGUUCCAUGUCCAGGACAAGAAAGAAAAGAGGAGCCAAGAAAAGAUAAUUCCAGGGAAUGUGGCUACAUAAAACUUGUAGUGGUUUCCACCUGUUUUAUUGGCAGUGGAAUACUCCCUUCUAAUAAAAUCUGGUGGUUUAAAAUGUGGAGCUGCUAAGUUGGG